UCUCCGUAGGUGAACCUGCGGAGGGAUCAUUACAGAGUUCUCGCCCUCGCGGGUAGAUCUCCCACCCACUGUUAUCGUUACUGUGUUGCUUUGGCGGGCCGCCGGGCCCCGCUCGGCCGCCGGCUCCGGCUGGCGCGCGCCCGCCAGAGGCCCAGCAAACUCUGAAUGUUAGUGUCGUCUGAGUGCUAUAUAAUAGCUAAAACUUUCAACAACGGAUCUCUUGGUUCUG
rnacentral:misc_RNA from 1 species